GUCUGACUUCCUAGUGACCAGGAGGUUGGGCAAGAUCAGGAAGCUCAGACACAUUUUGCUGUGUCAGAGGACUACAUCUUGCUUGGUCUGUCAUGGCUACCAAAGCAGGGUACUGGUGUUCUGCCUGCAGGUCAUAAGAGGGCACCAGAUAUCAUUAUAGAUCGUUGGGAACCACCAUGGGGAAUUGAACGCAGAACCUCUGGAAGAAGAGCUCGUCCUCUCAACCUCUGAGCCACCUCUCCAUCCCAGCUUUCCUUUUCUUAAGAUUUAUUUUGUUUUAAAAUUGUGUGUGUGUGUGUGUGUGUGUGUGUGUGUGUG
rnacentral:lncRNA from 1 species